AUGUUGGGUGAAAACGAGCAGCAGGAGCAAACUAUCGCCGAGGACCUGGUCGUGACCAAGUAUAAGAUGGGGGGCGACAUCGCCAACCGGGUGCUUCGAUCUUUGGUGGAGGCAUCUAGCUCAGGUGUGUCUGUGGUGAGCUUGUGUGAGAAAGGUGAUGCCAUGAUUAUGGAAGAGACAGGGAAGAUCUUCAAGAAGGAAAAGGAGAUGAAGAAAGGUAUUGCCUUUCCUACCAGCAUUUCUGUAAAUAACUGUGUGUGUCACUUCUCCCCUUUGAAGAGUGACCAGGACUAUAUACUCAAGGAAGUUGACUUGGUAAAAAUUGACCUUGGGGUUCAUGUGGAUGGCUUCUUUGCCAAUGUGGCUCACACUUUUGUAAUUGGUGUAACUCAGGGGACCCAGGUAACAGAGUGGAAAGCAGAUGUCAUUAAGGCCGCUCAUGUAUGCACUGAAGCUGCCUUAAGAUGGGUCAAACCUGGAAACCAGAACACACAAGUGACUGAAGCAUGGAACAAGGUCGUUCACUCAUUUCACUGCACACCAAUAGAAGGUAGGCUGUCACACCAAUUGGAGCAGCAUGUGAUUGAUGGAGAGAAGACGAUUAUCCAGAACCCUACAGACCAGCAGAAGAAGGACCAGGAAAAGGCAGAAUUUGAGGUGCAUGAGGUUUAUGCUGUGGAUGUCCUCGUCAGCUCAGGAGAAGGCAAGGCCAAAGAUGCAGGACAGAGAACCACCAUCUACAAGCAAGACCCCUCUAAACUAUAUGGCCUGAAAAUGAAAACUUCACGUGCCUUUUUCAGUGAGGUGGAACACUGUUUUGAUGCCAUGCCGUUUACUUUAAGAGCAUUUGAAGAUGAGAAGAAGGCUCGAAUGGGUGUGGUAGAGUGUGCCAAACAUGAGUUACUGCAGCCAUUUAACGUUCUCUAUGAGAAAGAGGGUGAGUUUGUAGCCCAGUUUAAAUUUACAGUUCUACUCAUGCCUAAUGGCCCCAUGCUGAUAACCAGUGGUCCCUUUGAGCCUGACCUGUACAAGUCUGAGAUGGAGGUUCAGGAUGCAGAGCUGAAGGCUCUUCUCCAGAGUUCUGCAAGUAGAAAAAUCCAGAAAAAGAAGAAAAAGAAGGCCUCCAAGAUUGCAGAGAACACCACCAGUAGAGAAACCUUAGAAGAGAAUGGAGCUGGGGACUGA